rfam:Sus scrofa chromosome 7.
CCAAAGGCUCUUUUCAGAGCCACCUAACCUUUUUCAAAAAAGAGCUGU